rnacentral:miRNA from 1 species
ACAGAAGAUAGAGAACACAUA